ensembl:lncRNA
CUCAUGUCAUGUACAUUUUGAGAUCAGAUCAUCAACAACAUCCAGUCACACAAAGCAAAGAGACUGAUACAGCUGUGGUCUACCCAGCAGUGAGAGAUAACGAUGUCAGUUAUGGACAGACAGAACAAGGAGGCCCAGACUUUAAACCAGAGCCAGACGUCGUCUACUCUUCACUGAAGUAGUCCACCAGUCCAACCACUGACGUGCAGCUGCUGGUCUCUAACUGGUCCCCCCAGUACUUCAGACUAGAGUCUGUCCAUCCAACUUCUUAUGCGUAUCCAGGGCCAGAUCGUGGGGGCAGCAGCCAAAGCAAUGAAGCCCAGAACUCCC